rnacentral:rRNA from 1 species
UGCAGUCGAACGAUGAAGCCUUUCGGGGUGGAUUAGUGGCGAACGGGUGAGUAACACGUGGGCAAUCUGCCCUUCACUCUGGGACAAGCCCUGGAAACGGGGUCUAAUACCGGAUACGACCUGCCUCCGCAUGGGGGUGGGUGGAAAGCUCCGGCGGUGAAGGAUGAGCCCGCGGCCUAUCAGCUUGUUGGUGGGGUAAUGGCCUACCAAGGCGACGACGGGUAGCCGGCCUGAGAGGGCGACCGGCCACACUGGGACUGAGACACGGCCCAGACUCCUACGGGAGGCAGCAGUGGGGAAUAUUGCACAAUGGGCGAAAGCCUGAUGCAGCGACGCCGCGUGAGGGAUGACGGCCUUCGGGUUGUAAACCUCUUUCAGCAGGGAAGAAGCGAGAGUGACGGUACCUGCAGAAGAAGCGCCGGCUAACUACGUGCCAGCAGCCGCGGUAAUACGUAGGGCGCAAGCGUUGUCCGGAAUUAUUGGGCGUAAAGAGCUCGUAGGCGGCUUGUUGCGUCGGAUGUGAAAGCCCGGGGCUUAACCCCGGGUCUGCAUUCGAUACGGGCAGGCUAGAGUGUGGUAGGGGAGAUCGGAAUUCCUGGU